GUAGGUUGACUGUCGGGACAAGCCCAGGGAUGGCAUUGUUUCUAUUUGCUGAUAAAUGACUCUGGGGCUGUGAAGACUCAGACCCAAGGAGUGACUCAGAAAGUCAGGGGCCCAUGUCAUUCUGCUCUGGGUUCAGACGUGCACUGCAGCAGCACCGGGACUUGACAGCCCUACGGCUCGAUCAGCUUUCUGUUUUCAUUGCCUUACGAUGCCAUGAGUGGAACUAUUGUCAAAUCAGAGUUCACUCCCCAGCUUUUCAGUCUUUCCCCUAAUUCUUGCUCUAUCAGAGGUCGAGGACAACAGUAUAAUGAUUCAUAGGUUCUACUUCCUGGCAAGUAAUCAUUUUCCCACGGGCCCUUGUGAAUUGAUGAAUAUGAAGACACUAAGAAAGCAGAAAUAGAACUGAGAAGAAUGAAAUAACUGUCUCUACCUUUCUCGAAUUGUCUAAUAUGGAAAGAAUGAAAGACAGCUAAUAAGCAACUCUCUGCAAGAAGACAUAUGGCUUAGGUUCUGCUGAGCUAUUGGUGAUUUGAUUCCAUGCAUAUGUAUUCACUACUGGUAUAAGUAUAUACAAUAUAUGUGUUUCUGCAAAGAAUCGUAGACUUGAUGCAUUUUUUAAUAUUUCUUAAGGACUUACUACUGAGUGUCAGUAUGAGAGGAUCGUUUACUUCCUUUUCCCAUUAAUUUUGAUAGCCUGGAUUGAGCAACUUUCUUACCUAGUUUUGUUUUAUGAGGUGCAUUAGCUUUUUCUUUGUGUGUAUGUUUGUGUGUGUGUAGCUUUAUUAACCAUAUUGUUUGGGCUUUUGAUAAAGCAGAGAUUCUGAUAUGGUAUACAUUUUGAACUAAGCAUUCAUUUAUUCAGCAGGGAUGUAUGUUUAAGACACUGUGUUAGCCAAGGGUGAGAAGGCGUGUGGAAUGGUAGAGGAGCAAGGUGAGGUAAGAUGAUUAAAAGACACCAGCUGAGAGUGUUAUUUUAUAUGGCAGAAGGAUGUUUGCAGAUGCAAUUAAGUUAAGGACCUUGAGAUGGGGUAUGUUAUCCUGGUAGGCCCAAUGUAUACAUCAGGGUCCUUAUGAAAGGGAGGCAGGAGAACAGAAUGAGUAGUGAGAAGAGUGAAUGGACAAUACUGAGGACAUGCUUAGGGACCCAAAGAAGCUUGCUAUGGUAGGGCUUGGUGGACUCUGUACUGAUGAGAAAGGCUAGGCCAUGCUAUGGAAGCAAAUAAAUCUGUUGUAAAGUGACAGAGUUUCUCUCUUGCUCAUGCAAAGUCUGCUAAAUGGCUGAGUGAUUCUCAAGGGCAUCCCUCACUCAUGUGAUGGCUCUGCUGUGUGUGCAUCCCUGCUAGCCAGGCAGGUCAGGAGAAUGUUAGAAAUGAAACACUUCCUUCUGGUGGCCAAAAGAAGUCACAUGGCUACAUCUGUUAAUAAUUCGAAGGUUGUAGACAGUAUAAUAUUCCCUUGUCCUAAAAGAGGGAAGCUAGAAAUAUUGGUAAGCAGCACAUAUAUCUUCCCCAUGAUCCCAACUUUGUUGGGUAGAGAAGCAUUUUAAAUAACUUUGGAAUUUACAUAUAUUCCUCAAAUAUCUAGUGGUAACUCCAUGUCUAAAUCCAGGGUACCCACUUUCUUCCCUAAACAUGUUUGAAAGUCCUGCAUUCUCUCAGUAUUGUUACAGAGCCACAUUUCAGUUGAAUUGGUAGUGCUGAGAAAAGCGUUAUUUAUUUUAUUUUUAUUUUAGUUUUUUUUAGAGACUGGGUUUUGCUGUGUUGCCCCGGCUGAUCUUGCACUCCUGGUCUCAAGUGCUCCUCCUAUCUCAGCCAUCCGAAUAGCUGGUAUUACAUGUGCACACCAUAAUGAGAAAAGCAUUAUGAUUAACCUAGUAAAUUGAUUUUUAAUACUGCAUUAUUUGAUUUUCAAGGACUUAAAAAACCACUUCCAGAGAGCUAGACACAAUGAAUACAAGCAAGCUAAUAAUGAAAGUGAGAAACCACAUGCUGCUGAAUUGAGUAUGUAGCAACAUUUGUAAAGAAAUGGCAAAUCAUAUCUAAUUAUUUCAUUGUGCUUACCUUUCUUCAGUCAGAAAGCCUUCGGCAUCUAGUGCAUUUCUACAGAUAUUCCGUGGUGAUUUAAUAUCAAUUAAUAUCAACCUGCAGCAAAGUGUUGACAGUGUUUCUAAAUUCACAAGCCCAACAUUUUGCAGUAUUGGGCAUAAGUGAAGGAGCUUUCCAGGUUGCUGCUAAAAGCAACUCAAAAAGAUGCGAAGUAGAUGUGAAACCUUCAUAUUUGGUACUUCUAUAGCAGAUUGUCUUCUCUCCUAGAAGAGAGGCCAGGAGACAGACUAACCCAUUUCUCUAAUCCAUAUGUUGUUCGCUGAGGCUCCCAAAGCUCUGGGAAGUAAUUUACUUGCAGUUCUCUAGAGAUGGAGGCAGGGAGCUUGAGUGUGAGUCCAGUGGAGACUGUCUUUGGAAUUUCAUCUGAUCACAGGGUCACUGUCCAUUUCUCUUCUCAGCAGGCCUAGGAAAACACCAGGACUAACCCCCUGGAGGGAGCCUAGCUUCAGGAUUAAUUAGGGCUUGAUUAAUUAAUUAAGAAUCUACUUGGAGAGAGUCAAACACAGAAUCCCUUUGAAUUUAAUGGCCAUUCCAGGUGAUUUGAACAGCCAAAUAAGAAACAGGUCCUCUUCAAUGUACAAUCUGCCAAGUAUGAAGUCUGAAUGACCAUCAUUAUUAUGUAUUUAAUGUGCAUAGAAAAUCUAUCUGCAACCUUCCAGAGUGUACCAGAAGUUUGGAAUGUACAUUAUUAUUGGCUCCAUCUCAAACCACUCAUAAAUCAAAGAAAAUAGCAGUUCCAGAGGAAUCAUCAUAGAGGCUUCUAGGCCCCCAUGCUGUGUGAACCUGGUGAGAAAGGGAAGUCUGCUCUCACUGGACACUGGAACUGUUUGUCUCUGUCUCUGCUGUACUUUCCCUGCCUCUACCUCACUUAGUAAAGAAAUCAUCUUUGCUUGAUAACUAAAACAACCAAUAAGGCUGAGAAAGGGGAAAACCCACAUCUGGAUUUAAAUACAAGGUAUUGGGCCAGCUGCUGGGGAUUAAACUUUGAACAAAACAGAUAGAAUCUAUGUCCUCAUGGGAGUGGCUAAUGGGAGAGUCGGAACAAAAAAAUAGCCAAGGAUAAUCCAGCAAAUGAUUUGGUGAAUGCUAUCAAAGAGAGAAAUACACAUGCUCUGGGAACACCAAGAAUAAACGAGAGAAAGGGACAUUAAUAUAUAUUGAAUAUCUGCUGUGUCAGGCACCUUACAUAUAUUGAUUGCUUCUUCACUUCUUUUAAUCUUUACUACACCACAUGAGGCUGUCAUAGAGAUUCUGAGG
rnacentral:lncRNA from 10 species